UACGGGGGGGGGGGCAAGCGUUGUUCGGAAUUACUGGGCGUAAAGGGCUCGUAGGCGGCCAACUAAGUCAGACGUGAAAUCCCUGGGCUCAACCCAGGAACUGCGUCCGAUACUGAAAGGCUUGAAUCCGGGAGAGGGAUGCGGAAUUCCAGGUGUAGCGGUGAAAUGCGUAGAUAUCUGGAGGAACACCGGUGGCGAAGGCGGCAUCCUGGACCGGUAUUGACGCUGAGGCGCGAAAGCCAGGGGAGCAAACGGG
rnacentral:rRNA from 1 species